GGAGAGGUGGCUGAGCGGUCGAAAGCGGCGCCGUGCUAAGGCGUUGAGCCUUCACAGGCUCCGUGGGUUCGAAUCCCACCCUCUCCGCCA
rnacentral:tRNA from 1 species